UGCUGUGAGUCUGUGGCUGCAACCAAACUUUACCCUACAGGCAUGACCUAACGUUACACCUUCAGCUUCCAUGAGUUCAGCCGGAGUUCCCAGACCACAAAGUGAACCACAAGCAGCCAACAUGUGUUUGUCUGCUGUCAUCUGAUCAACUGGUAGAAGACGUCCAGCUGAACAGAUUCCUUGAUCUACGGCACUCAUCAGUGUUAACCUGAGACUGCUUGUCAGGGCUGAUCAACUCUCAUCAGCAUGUUUGAUGCAGAGUAACGGCGGAAAAGGCCACGAGUUCAACCCCACAGGCGCCGACACCAAUCACUCUUGAGCACCGGGCACCUGCUUGUCAUGUUCCCAUGAUAAGAGGCUCUCCUUUGGUGCUGUGGAAACCAGGCGCCCCUCUGGGUGCGAAGAAAGAGAAAGUCAGAGGGAGAGCAGUCUGUGCUGGCUCAAGCUGAAUAGUUGAAUAUUCUAUCUCAGCUGAGCUUCAUGUAGAAAUCAAUAGAGACACAAUAUAUUUAAGCACAUAAGAUAUUUGACACCAUAUGAGGAAAAUUUCAAGUGAUGUCUCUCAAUCAGAGCCACAAUCUAGGAAAUAAUCUCAAUUAAAAUGAGCCCGCUUUGCUAUAAUAUUGUUUAUUUCUGUCUUUGUCUGAGUGGCUCUUCUCUACUCUGGCCUUCUCCAAACCCCUUUCACGUGCAGACAAAAGAGAGGCUUCUUUUCUUAGAGGGGAAGAAAUGGCAGCAAUUAAAAGGCAAGUGGCUUUAAAAAAUUCCAAGUGUA